GGGGUUUGGCGGCAUCGCAGGUGACAUGGUUGUGGGCUGGUGGCAGCGAGUCUUUGCUGGACAGGCGCAUGAAGGUCCAACGGGAGACGCCCGAGCUGGGGAAUGUCAGCACAGAUCGGGACAUUUCAGAUUUUCCUCCCUCCAAAGUAGGUGUGAAAAACUUGCCCUCUACGUGAUUGGAUGCGAGUCUGAGAAGAACCCGCCGAUGGACACGUCAGACGGAAGGCUGUCCGAACGGCCCGCAGUGGUGAAAACGGUCGCUAUGGAGAGCGAGUGCAGAGGGCCGGGGCGAGGAAUGGGGUCAACUGGCAGCCGCCCGGCGACACAUCUGCCCCGGCACCUCUAAUGGCUGAAAUAACUCUGUGGCAUAAAUGCCUUCUGCAAGCGACCGUGACUGCUGCAUGCCAUGGACCCAGCCGGCCUUCCACAGCUUCUGCUGAUUCACCCUCGGUGUGGAGGUUUUCGUUUCCGCCCAGAAGCGGUGCUAUAUAUGGGCCAGUCAAAUAUUCAACGUUGUUGGACUCCAGUGACUCUACACUGGCCACUUCCACCUCCCUUCUGCCAGAUGGAAUCAGACCUUAAGCAGAUCCUAAGCAUUUGGGCCAAAAGUUUCAAGGACGGUUUUUACCUGCAGGUAUUUAGGAUCCUCACCAGCAGAUAAUUACGCGCCGAAAGCUGCUACGAUGAAGACGCAGCAGGCGGCUCCAGCCACAGAGCGACGGAUCCCACGGGCGAUACCUUCCUGCGUGAAAGCCGAAGACUGCGCUGACUUCUCACGAUCUCUGGAUCGACCCCUCUCUUCACUGCUGGAACGCGACUAAAUGGCCCGGCUUUUCACUGCCUCGCUCUACAGGGAAAGCUGGAAGGGGGAUUCCCUCCUUCGUCUUGCCGGAUUCCCAAUCAGCACAGCAUGUACUAUAAACAUGCUAAUGAAACACACAUAAAAGUUGACCAUCAAUUAACGCAAAUUAACCUGAUUUAGUUUUAUUUUUUAAGUCGUGCAGUCACGGUUUGGCGCUAGCACAACCAAAACAAAAUAUCAAAACCGGUAUCUAUGUUUGUAUUCGGUUAAUGCACAUGGCAGAGUUGCUUGUUUCGUUAAUUUCAUUCGCAUUUUUCCGAGUAACUCUAAAUAAAAAGAAACAUACACCAAAGGCGUGAAGAUCUU